rnacentral:tRNA from 1 species
CCCCUGGUGAUCUAGUGGCUAAGAUUCCUCAUUCCCAAGGCAGGGGGUUCAGGUUCCAUUCCUGAUCAGGGAA